rnacentral:rRNA from 1 species
CACGUAGGGCGCAAGCGUUGUCCGGAAUUAUUGGGCGUAAAGAGCUCGUAGGCGGUCUGUCGCGUCGGCUGUGAAAACCCGGGGCUCAACCCCGGGCCUGCAGUCGAUACGGGCAGACUAGAGUGCGGUAGGGGAGACUGGAAUUCCUGGUGUAGCGGUGAAAUGCGCAGAUAUCAGGAGGAACACUGGUGGCGAAGGCGGGUCUCUGGGCCGUAACUGACGCUGAGGAGCGAAAGCGUGGGGAGCGAACAGG